GGCAUCUUCAACGCAUUCAGCUUAUGCAAGACAUUGAUAGCAUGAUUUCUCUAAUCCAUGGAAAUACAUACACUUUACUUUCUUUCUGCAUUAGACAAUCUCUAUUACAUGAAGUACACAACAGCUUGAAAACUGAUGGAAAAGAUCUCAAGAAUUCUAUUGCAGAAAUGGAAAAUAUUUUAAAAGAAGAUGGUGAACGUACAUGUGUCUUAAAGGGUCCUGUAUAUGAAGGGUUGAAAUCCUCAAAUGAAACUCAAGUAAAAUCACUGAGUUUAAGAGAACCAGUUGCCAUAAAAAGAAAUGAAGAGCUGUGUGAUGAAAACAACACUCCAAUAUGUCAUGUCAUAAAUGAUGAUGAAUUCCAUAUCUCACACCUGAAUUUGACUGGACAGGAUAAUUCACUUGAAAUGGUAUCAAGAGACCCAUAUUGCUGGGUUCAGAAUUCAGAGUUCUCUUUUGAUGAUCUUAAGCUUUAGACCAAGUUCAGAAGAAAUGUCACAUAUUAAUUAUGUUCUCUAUUCAAUUAUCUUUAUGACAAACUAGUUUUUAGAUGCUCUUCACAUUUUAGCAUUAGAGAAGAACAUUCUAUGGGCCUACCACAUAUGCCUCUUUGUUUGUUUGAUUGUUGCAUUUCUUAAAGUUGUGCACAACCUCCAUGUCAAGGAGUGUAACGUUUGCUAUCUCAUUACUGACUCUCAUUUGUUUGUCUUAAACUAAUAAAUUUCAUACCACUUACGUAAGAUCAUACGUCCCUCUUCAUUGUACAAAUGCUCUUUAGCGUUGAAUUUUGUUUGGUUUUAUUCCGCUCACUACGCGUAUAUGAGAACAUUGGCCGGGGGGUGGGGGCAGAGGUAUACGUAGUUUGAUGGGUAAACCUGUAAGAAGACGUUCACUAUGACUGAAAAGGUAGUGUUUCAUUCGUGUUUCUACAACACUCUGUCAACUUUUAAUGUUGUGUAAUCAUUAAAAAUGACAAUGGUUAUCAAUGAUAAAUCGCGAGAGUACAUUCUCGGCUUGCUUUAAAGCAACUGAGAACGACCAGGAAGCUGGGGACAGCCGAUACCAACAUGUUAGUCUACUGCGAUUGGAUGAAACGGAUAUUUUGGGCGUGUUUUAAGAGGGGACAGGAAUUGGAUCGAUUUUUUUUUAGAUUAUGGUGCCACAGAAUUUCAUUAAUCCCACAGGCAGCUUCAAAUGGCGGAUGUUAAGUUUGUUAUGGAUUUGAUAGGGUUUUGAGGAACUGGCGUCAUCUUCACGCUUCGGCCAGCUUGACCCUUGGUGGUCACGGAAUUCCAGGCUAGGUGGGCCCCAGAAAGAGACUGCACGCAGAGAGGAAGGGAACUCUGCCCCGUAGUCCACAAAACCAGGAUCACAAUCGGCGAUGACUCGCCUUAUCACUUGUUGAGGGCAGCCAAAUUCGGAGUAUUUCGAACAAACAUUCGCGGACAGCCGACAUGGGGAGAUUCUCCGACUUGUGGGUUGGGCGUGGGGCUAACAAUUGUCGACUGUGAGAAUAAUAAAUUAUUCCGAAAUGUUGCGCGUAGCCUCUGACUGUGAAGGCUUAUUUGCAAAGACCCAACAAUGGGAAUGGUCUGGUUGGUCAUAUCAAAACCUCACCUGAAAUAUACGUUUCAAACAUUCUAUUGAUGCUUCACAUUUCUGUCACAAUUAUAGUGCAUAAUUUUGUAUAUUAUUUUUUCUUACGCAUUCUGCGAGCUCUGCUUGAUUCCUAAUACAAAAUAUACUGGAGAAAUACCCGUCAAAAAUAACAACAAUCUUUUGAAACCCAUUCCCAUGUAUUGCACAUUACACCCGAGACUCAAUGAAAUUUUAUAAAGUUAAUUCCUCCAAUUUUCCCUUCGUAGCAAAAAAGAAAAACCCCGUUUCUGUUAACAAAGAUUGAACUCAAAUGCAAGCGCAGUGCUGGUGGAGUUAAAACUGUAUCUGCAAUUCUGUAGUUCAGUGAAGGGUUCAAAGAAAGAAUAACUAAACACUCACUGCAUUUCAACGAUGGGUUCAUGUCUCUUACCCCCCUCAACCAUAAGCUAAUCCUCCAGACAAAGUCAUUCCUCAGUCAGUAAUUGAAAACAACAAAAUAUGCAACUGUAAACGUUUCCCUGAAAAGUACUGAAGCUCAGUUCAGUUCCAUAGCAGUAACUUAUGAAUAGAUAAUUAAAUUCAGUGUAUCUUGCAGUCUGGAUGUCUACAGUCGAGGGAAAAAACUCUACAUAAAUUUAAUACAGCCCUGUAUAAGAUUUUAAUACAAUCUAUGGCCUAUUGCUGCGUAAUUAGUAAUUCUUAUGUAUGUUGUAAACCUUGGUGAGUGACGUUUAUACAAAAAAUGUACUUACUAAUAUAAACUGUAAAUAAAUAAAGCAAGCAUUCCCAAACAGUAAAUCUGAA